GGUGACGUCACAGGAUCAUCCCUUCCCAAUCUCCAUUUCUGGGAAGUCUCUUUUGUCUGGAGUCGGGGAUGUGCUGGGACCCGAGCGAAUGGAGGUCUGCGCCCCUCAUCCAGUUGCCUACCUUUCCGCCUUCACAGCGAUCCCCUCCGUUACCCCCGUCUUACCCUCAUCUUCCGGACGGACCCAUCCUGAGGGUCCUGAGGAGCCUAAGCCGCAGUGAGUGAGGGGAGAAUGAUUCUUAAUCCUGCAAAUUGGAAUCCGUUUCUUCUAUAUUGGAUAUGCAACCAACCAUAGAGAUUUUUGCUACAAAGGUCUUUUUCCUCAGGGAAGAAAAGAAAACUGAGCCCAGCUGUUUGGUGCACAUGUGUAACACCUGUGGACCUCUCUCCUCCUGGAAGAGGACAGGCGAUGGUGUCUUCUCAUACAUCAUACAUGAACUGGAUGGAACAGAAGAGUUCCAUAUCGCAGUUUGUUUUGAAAAUAUAAAAUAAAUAAGUGGCCACGAGACCAAAAUAUCUAGCCUCCAAACUCAAAGACAUGUUACCAGGUUGAAGGGACCAAAUUUCUAUUCCUUUGGACAAACAAGUGGCACAUGAUGUAAGAGGAUGAACUAGUUUCUGCUAUACUGUCUUUCAGUUUUCCCCAGAAGUUUUUGUAUAUAGUAAAUUAUUUUCC